CAGCAUCAGUCUCUCUCUACCUCUGGAGGUGGAAUAUCAGGAGAAAAACACCUACAGCUGUGUGAUCAACAACACCAUCAGCAACCAGACUCAACAUCUGGACAUCAGUCAACUCUGUCCCACAUGUUCAGGCUCUGUUCACUGCUGUGGUCCUACUGAAGCUGCGAUCCGAUUGGUCCUCUCUGCUCUGGUGGGCGUGGCUACUGUCAUUAUUGUGCUUUAUGACAUCAGAUCCAGAAGAGCUGAACAAGAUCAAGCACAUAUUCACGCAUCACAAACCUGAAUGAUGAUGUCAGAGAACUGCUUUCAGUCAUUUCAGCUUCAUUUAUUUUGAAGAUUUUAGAUGAACCUGAUGGUUCUGAUGCAGCUCAUGUGAGGGUUUGACAUUAAUACAGCAGCAGACUUCAAAUACAAAGCUUUGCUUUCAUUUAUUUCAGUACAACAGGCUUUACUAAUGAACAUUUUAUAUAUGAUUUAAUUUUUCAUGUUUGUUUUGUAGUGUUACUAUUUUACAGAUUCAGUUUGAUUUAUUGUUUAUAUUUCUCUAAAAUAAGACACAGAUCUUACUUCACUGUGCAUUUGUCAGAUGUAUUUGCUUGUCUUCAUCAAUAAAGUUUUCUCUGUCUAAAUGUAAA